AUUUGACUGCAUCUGAAAUUACGAGUAUGCGUUUUGUUACAGCUGGACAGAUAAGGGACACUUGCAGUGGUCAAAACAGAAACCAAAAUGUUAGUGCUUUGUUACUCUAUUCAGUU